ensembl:lncRNA
GUAGUAUAGUACGGUUUAGUAGAUUAAAAAGUUAUAGUUGAUAAAAUAGUUAUAUUCUAUGACAGUAAAAUAUAGUACAGCAUGUUAUCAUAUAGUAUAGCAGUUAAAACAGGUACGUUAUAGUAGAUAAAAUUGUUAUAGUGCAGUAUAAUAGCUGAAAUAUGUCAAAUAUACUACAGUACAGUUGAUAAAAUUAUAGUACAGAAUAGCAGAUAAAACCGGUAUAUUUCCAUCAAAACUCGUACACUGCAUGUGUAGUUUAACUGAAAUCGACCAUUAAAAUGUGUACAUUUGUGCGUCUUAGCAAUUUCAUCAACUGUACUGUAGUAUAUUUGACGUAUUUCAGCUAUUAUACUACACUAUAACAAUUUUAUGUAUUCGCAUGGUAUGAAUUUGGUGUAAAUCUGAGAACGAUUAAUUUUACACCCCCCCAAAAAAAUCACAAAGGUUAACCCCUUACCUAACUUUGGAACUAAUCAGACUCCUGUGUUCGUUUCGACACAUGGCAAGAAUUUGGUGAAAAUUGGAGCGCUAUGAAUUUUUCACCCCUCCCCACAAUAUUUUUAUUUCUACUGGGAAAUGGAAAGCAAGAAAAGAAGGUUUUUGUACCGGGUUUUUUUUUUUUUUUUUUUUGGAACAACAACAAAUCCUAACCAUCAUCACUUAGGUUUGAUAUUGAUUUUGUCUUUCUUUCUUAUUAAAAGGUUACUCUAACUGCAACAUUAACAAUGUCCCUCCAAAUAUUCAAUACUACACAAGCACCGUAGGGUCGGUGGUUCGAUUCCCGGCCCACGUGAUACUGAAGACAUACCGAAGUGUCCUUGGGCGAGACACUGAACCCCAAGUUGCUCCCGAUGGCAAGUUAGCGCUUUGCAUGGCAGCUCUGCUACCACUGGUGUGUGUGUGUGUGUGUGUGAGAGAGAGUGAAUGGGUGAAUGAGACACAGUGUAAAGCGCUUUGGAACCGAUAAGGUUAAAAAAAAGCGCUAUACAAGUGCAGGCCAUUUACCAAACAUAUGAAUAUAAACACAUGUAGUGUGAUUUAUGGUGGAGUUUUUCCUCUGAGCAAACCAUUUUAAAUAUUAAUAUCCC